rnacentral:rRNA from 1 species
UACGAAGGGGGCUAGCGUUGCUCGGAAUCACUGGGCGUAAAGGGUGCGUAGGCGGGUCUUUAAGUCAGGGGUGAAAUCCUGGAGCUCAACUCCAGAACUGCCUUUGAUACUGAGGAUCUUGAGUUCGGGAGAGGUGAGUGGAACUGCGAGUGUAGAGGUGAAAUUCGUAGAUAUUCGCAAGAACACCAGUGGCGAAGGCGGCUCACUGGCCCGAUACUGACGCUGAGGUGCGAAAGCGUGGGGAGCAA